GUUCUCUUCAGCAGCACAUACAUUAAAAUUGGAAUAAUAUGGAGAAGACCAGCAUGGUCCCUGCUCAGGAUGACAUGCAAAUUCAUGAAGCGUUCCAUAUUUUU